rnacentral:snoRNA from 1 species
GGCUUCCUGGCGCUUAUCACAGGCUGAAUUCUUAUACUGACUGUAUAGAAAAGGAGGUAAACUACCCCACAUACCCCUCAGCCCAGGCUCUGUGCCUGAUCUAUAUUGUGAACGUGGGAACAGAG